UACGUAGGGUGCAAGCGUUAAUCGGAAUUACUGGGCGUAAAGCGUGCGCAGGCGGUUGUGUAAGACAGAUGUGAAAUCCCCGGGCUCAACCUGGGAAUUGCAUUUGUGACUGCACGGCUGGAGUGCGGCAGAGGGGGAUGGAAUUCCGCGUGUAGCAGUGAAAUGCGUAGAUAUGCGGAGGAACACCGAUGGCGAAGGCAAUCCCCUGGGCCUGCACUGACGCUCAUGCACGAAAGCGUGGGGAGCAAACAGG
rnacentral:rRNA from 1 species